rnacentral:sRNA from 1 species
CAUGAUGAUACGGCUGCUCCAUUGGAAGGGUUGGGGGAGGUCCACUGCCCAUCCAGAAGGUAUCAGAAGUGCAGCCUCCUGUCAGACAGCAACACUGACCACGUGAGUAAGUAACAUUUCUAAUCUUCAAAAUCAUUUUGGUUUAAGAGACAAAUACCGAUACUUUGCUUGUUUGAUGAGAGCCCGGUUUGAAGAACAUAAGAAUGAAAAGGAUAUGGCGAAGGCCACCCAGCUGCUGAAGGAGGCCGAGGAAGAAUUCUGGUACCGUCAGCAUCCACAGCCAUACAUCUUCCCUGACUCUCCUGGGGGCACCUCCUAUGAGAGAUACGAUUGCUACAAGGUCCCAGAAUGGUGCUUAGAUGACUGGCAUCCUUCUGAGAAGGCAAUGUAUCCUGAUUACUUUGCCAAGAGAGAAAAGUGGAAGAAACUGCGGAGGGAAAGCUGGGAACGAGAGGUUAAGCAGCUGCAGGAGGAAACGCCACCUGGUGGUCCUUUAACUGAAGCUUUGCCCCCUGCCCGAAAGGAAGGUGAUUUGCCCCCACUGUGGUGGUAUAUUGUGACCAGACCCCGGGAGCGGCCCAUGUAGAAAGAGAGAGACCUCAUCUUUCAUGCUUGCAAGUGAAAUAUGUUACAGAACAUGCACUUGCCCUAAUAAAAAAUCAGUGAAAUGGU